AUUGAACGCUGGCGGCAUGCCUAACACAUGCAAGUCGAGCGGAUGAAGGGAGCUUUCUCCUGGAUUCAGCGGCGGACGGGUGAGUAAUGCCUAGGAAUCUGCCUGGUAGUUGGGGAUAACGUCCGGAAACGGGCGCUAAUACCGCAUACGUCCUGAUGGAGAAAGUGGGGGAUCUUCGGACCUCACCCUAUCAGAUGAGCCUAGGUCGGAUUAGCUAGUUGGUGAGGUAAAGGCCUACCAAGGCGACGAUCCGUAACUGGUCUGAGAGGAUGAUCGGUCACACUGGAACUGAGACACGGUCCAGACUCCUACGGGAGGCAGCAGUGGGGAAUAUUGGACAAUGGGCGAAAGCCUGAUGCAGCCAUGCCGCGUGUGUGAAGAAGGUCUUCGGAUUGUAAAGCACUUUAAGUUGGGAGGAAGGGCAGUAAGUUAAUACAUUGCUGUUUUGACGUUACCAACAGAAUAAGCACCGGCUAACUUCGUG
rnacentral:rRNA from 1 species